rnacentral:rRNA from 1 species
CUGACGGAGCGAUACAGCGUGAUGGAUGAAGUGCUUCGGUACGUAAACAUCUUUUAUGUGGGACGAAAUUAUUGACGGUACCACAUGAAUAAGGGGCUCCUAACUCUGUGCCAGCAGGAGCGGUAAUACAGAGGCCCCAAGCGUUAUCCGGAAUUAUUGGGCGUAAAGGGUGUCAAGGCGGUCAUGUUAGUCGUGUGUAAAAUCCGGGGGCUCAACCUCCGGCCCGCAUACGAAACGGCAUGACUUGAGGUUGGAAGAGGUGCGUGGAACUCACGGUGUAGGGGUGAAAUCCGUUGAUAUCGUGGGGAACACCAAAGGCGAAGGCAGCGCACUGGUCCAAAUCUGACGCUCACACACGAAAGCCAGGGUAGCGAAUGGGAUUAGAUACCCCAGUAGUCCUGGCCCUAAACGUUGCUCGCUCGUUCUACGGAGAAUCGACCCUCUGUGGGACUAAGCUAACGCGGUAAGCGAGCCGCCUGGGUAGUACGAUCGCAAGAUUAAAACUCAAAGGAAUAGACGGGGACUCGCACAAGCGGUGGAUCAUGUGGCUUAAUUCGUCGAUAAGCGAAGAACCUUACCAGGGCUAGAAACCAAGCUGCACGCUCCCAGAAACGGGAGAAUCCUUCGAGGGUGCU